UUUCAGUUUACAUUGGAGUGUUUAGUAUCAUAUAAAUCUAGGAUGAUUCUAUAAUACAAAAAUUCUAUUGCAGAUGUUUGUUUAAAUAAUAAGUACUAAGAUUUGAAAAACAUAUUAAUAGAAUCUUAAAAUAUCACUGCACCAAUUUACUUCUACAUAAGCCAUCAAAUCUUAUGACUACAAACUAUCUGACACCUGUGUUUCUGUUUCUCAGCAGUCUUGCAGAGGAUCCUGAAUAAUCCACCUUACAUUUAUCACAUGAGAAGGCUAAGGCCCAAAGAGAUACAACUGCUGGAUUUACUGGGCAUUCAAAUGACUGUACAAUAGUAAACAACAGCAAUACAACCAUGACUCUUCCAUUCACUCAACAAUCAUCAGUUGGCUUGCUUACUGUCUGUUAUGAAGCUGCAUCUCAAGAAAUCUUAACUGGGAAACCUUUCCAUCUCCUCCAUAUAAUGAAGGUAUUCAAGAUUUCCAAAGAGCAACGUGCUGACUUUUUGGGCAUCUCAUUUGACUGUCAUACCUUCUUAAUUCUUUUUUGUUUGUUUGUAUUUUUAUUUUGAUAAAUGUGUUUUAUUUCUUAAAUUAAAAAAUUAAUUUUGUAGGCACAUAGUAGAUAUAUGUAUUUAUAGGGUACAUGAGAUGUUUUGAUACAGGCAUGCAGUGCUAAAUAAUUACAUCAUGGAGAAUGGAGUAACCAUCCCCUCAAGCAUUUAUCCUUUGCAUUACAAACAAUCCGAUUAUACUUUUUUAGUAAUUUUUAAAUGUACAAUUAAGUUAUUAUUGACUAUAGUCACGCCGUUGUGGUAUAAAAUAGUAGGUCUUUUUCAUUCUUUCUAACUAACUAACUUUUUUGUAUCCAUUAAACAUCCCCACCUCCCCCAGAGCUCCCUACUGCUCUUCCCAGCCUCUGGUAACCAUCGUUCUACUCUCUUUGUCCACGAGUUUUGAUUUUUACAUUCCACAAAUAAGCGAGAACAUGUGAUGUUUGUCCCUCUGUGCCUGACCUAUUUCACUUAACAUAAUGAUCUCAAGUUCCAUCUAUGUUGUUGCAAAUGACUGGAUCUCAUUAUUUUUAUGGGUGAAUAGUACUCCAUUGUGUAUAUGUGCCACAUUAUCUUUAUCCAUUCAUCUGCUGAUGGACAGUAGGUUGCUUCCAAAUCUUAGCUAUUGUAAAUAGUGCUGCAACAAACAUAGGAGUGCAGAUAUCUCUUUGAUAUACUGAUUUCCUUUGUAGUUUUGUAGUUUUCCUUUCUCAUUGUAGUUUUGAUUUGCAUUUCUAUGAUAAUCAGUGAUGUUAAGCACAUUUUCCUAUGCCUGUUUGCCAUUUGUAUGUUUUCUUUUGUGAAAUGUCUAUUAAAAUCUUUUGUCCAUUUUUUAAUUGGAUUAUUAGACUUUUUCCUAAGGAGUUGUUUGAGUUCCUUAUAUAUUUUGGUGAUGAAUCCCUCAUCAGAUGGGUAGUUUGCAAAUAUUGUCUCCCAUUUUGUACAUUGUGUCUUUGUUGAUUGUUUCCUUUGAUGUGCAGAAGUCUUUUAACUUGAGGUGAUCCCAUUUGUCUAUUUUUGCUUUGGUUACCUGUGUUUGUAGGCUAUUAUUAUUUUUGUGGAAUGUUUAGGUGUUUCCAAAUAUUUUAUAUAUAUGCGUGUAUAUGUAUAUAUAUAUGU
rnacentral:lncRNA from 10 species